GCCCGGGUGGUGGAAUUGGUAGACACAGGAGACUUAAAAUCUCCCGGCUUUACGGCCGUGCCGGUUCAAGUCCGGCCCCGGGCACCA
rnacentral:tRNA from 1 species